rnacentral:rRNA from 1 species
UNUGGCUUAACUGGGGGCUUGCGGUGGGUACGGGCCGGCUUGAGUGCGGUAGGGGAGACUGGAACUCCUGGUGUAGCGGUGGAAUGCGCAGAUAUCAGGAAGAACACCGGUGGCGAAGGCGGNUCUCUGGGCCGUUACUGACGCUGAGGAGCGAAAGCGUGGGGAGCGAACAGGAUUAGAUACCCUGGUAGUNCACGCCGUAAACGUUGGGCACUAGGUGUGGGGGGCCUUUUCCGGGUCUUCCGCGCCGUAGCUAACGCAUUAAGUGCCCCGCCUGGGGAGUACGGCCGCAAGGCUAAAACUCAAAGGAAUUGACGGGGGCCCGCACAAGCGGCGGAGCAUGCGGAUUAAUUCGAUGCAACGCGAAGAACCUUACCAAGGCUUGACAUGUGCCGGUCGGCUCCGGAGACGGGGUUUCCUCCUUGUGGGGCCGGUUCACAGGUGGUGCAUGGUUGUCGUCAGCUCGUGUCGUGAGAUGUUGGGUUAAGUCCCGCAACGAGCGCAACCCUUGUCCCGUGUUGCCAGCACGUUGUGGUGGGGACUCGCGGGAGACUGCCGGGGUCAACUCGGAGGAAGGUGGGGAUGACGUCAAAUCAUCAUGCCCCUUAUGUCUUGGGCUUCACGCAUGCUACAAUGGCCGGUACAGAGGGCUGCGAUACCGUGAGGUGGAGCGAAUCCCUUAAAGCCGGUCUCAGUUCGGAUCGGUGUCUGCAACUCGACACCGUGAAGUUGGAGUCGCUAGUAAUCGCAGAUCAGCAACGCUGCGGUGAAUACGUUCUCGGGCCUUGUACACACCGCCCGUCACGUCAUGAAAGUCGGC